UUGAUACGAUGCAGGUAUCAAAUUUAUGCUCAAGCUGGCAUAACUCACCAUAUUUACUGCGUAAUACAGGCAUGCUUAUGUAGUUGAGCACCC